rnacentral:rRNA from 1 species
GGGGGAAUAUUGCACAAUGGGCGCAAGCCUGAUGCAGCCAUGCCGCGUGUGUGAAGAAGGCCUUCGGGUUGUAAAGCACUUUCAGUAAGGAGGAAAGGUUAAGUGUUAAUAGCACUUAGCUGUGACGUUACUUACAGAAGAAGCACCGGCUAACUCCGUGCCAGCAGCCGCGGUAAUACGGAGGGUGCGAGCGUUAAUCGGAAUUACUGGGCGUAAAGCGUACGCAGGCGGUUUGUUAAGCGAGAUGUGAAAGCCCCGGGCUCAACCUGGGAACUGCAUUUCGAACUGGCAAACUAGAGUGUGAUAGAGGGUGGUAGAAUUCAUAGUGUAGCGGUGGAAUGCGUAGAUAU